UUUCCCUGUGAGUGGUCUUAUUGCAAUAACAGCCAUUUCAGCGCUUACACACCAGGGAUCCAAUCUUCAAACGGGGGAGCCAAAAAAGGAGCUUUCUAGGUGUUGGAACCAAGCAGAAACCAUGCCUUGAGGCAGAGAAUCCCCAAGUUCAGAUGUAGGAUACGUCCUCCAUUCUGUGAGAGGAGGUGCAGGAUGGCCAGGAGAGGGAUCAAUGGGCACGUCAUGAGCUGUGCCAGCAGGACUUUUGACAAUAGGGAAAAUGGAGGCAAGGAGUAGAGAAAGUCUUUGUUCCGAGGAGGAGGAAAGCAUCGUCCAGGGAGUGUUGUCCCAUCUCCACUCUUGAGCAGUAGCAUGGACAUUGCUUGUCCAGGGUAAAAGAAGAAAAGAAGAAGAUGAAACUACAGCUAGAACUACAACUAAGAACUAGGAGGGUAACUAACUAUAGAAAUGCAGAUUCAAGGUUCCUUCCACACUCUGAACUCUAGGGCACAGAUGUGGGGACCUGCAUGAAAGACCCCCUAAGCUUAUUCUUACCAGCUUAGGUUAAACGCUGCCACCACCGAAGUGUUACACAAAGAACAGGGGAAGUGCCCACUUGGAAACGUCUCCCCCCUAGAAUAUCCCCCCAAGCACUACACCCCCUUUCCUGGGGAAGGCUUGAUAAAAAUCCUCACCAAUUUGCCUAGGUGAACACAGACCCAAACCCUUGGAUCUUAAGAACAAUGAAAAAACAAUCAGGUUCUUAAAAGAAGAAUUUUAAUUAAAGAAAAAAGUAAAAGAAUCACCUCUGUAAAAUCAGGAUGGUAAAUACCUUACAGGGUAAUCAGAUUCAAAACAUAGAGAAUCCCUCUAGGCAAAACCUUAAGUUACAAAAAGACACAAAACCAGGAAUAUACAUUCCAUUCAGCACAACUUAUUUUAUCAGCCAUUUUAACAAAACAGAAUCUAACGCAUAUCCAACUAGAUUGCUUACUAACUCUUUACAGGAGUUCUGACCUGCAUUCCUGCUCUGGUCCUGGCAAAAGCAACACACAGACAGAGAGAACCUUUGUUUCUCCCCCCAGACCAGCUUUGAAAGUAUCUCGUCUCCUCAUUGGUCAUUUUGGUCAGGUGCCAGCGAGGUUAUCUUAGCUUCUUAACCAUUUACAGGUGAAAGGGUUUUUCCUCUGGCCAGGAGGGAUUUAAAGGUGUUUACCCUUCCCUUUAUAUUUAUGACAUGGGUUACCCAGUUUCUGCGUAUCACAUGGCUGAUCUGGGACAAUGUUAUAAAAGGAAAGGAGAAUGUGGUGACAAAGAGACUGUCUGUGGGGAAAGGUGUGUACACUCCCCAAAGGUGUGUACACUCCCCAGCUGGCUAAAGCUGGUAAGGACUUUGGUGUCAAUUACUGCAUAGUUUAAAUUGAUUUGUCCUGGUUUUGAGUUUUUGUGUUUGGAAAUCAAGCAAGUCAUGACGAAAAGGAUGUGAAGUAACCUGUCACUAAGAUUUCUAUUUUUCCCUCCCUGGCUGGUAAAUCUGUAUAUUGGUUUAUAAAACUUGUUUUACUGGCACUGUCAGGUGUUUGUCAUUAGGGCUUUCUGGAUAUGUGGAAGGGGAAGAAAAAGGCAAAAAACCAAAAGGAAGGCUUAUAAAAGAGUUACUAAAACAAGAGAUGAUGAGAACUGGCCAGCAAAGGAAAAAUGAAAUCCUUCCCAACACUAUGCAGUUUCUGCUUUUCUAUCAAAACCCUUUUAGAAAUUGUUAGACAAGUUCUGUUCAGAAGUUUCCUCCUUUUUUUUCUGCAUGUACAUUCUAUAAACCUAAUGCAGCAUGUUGUAAGAAGCACAUGAGAUGCUGCACGUAAGACCUUACCCAAAACCCGCUGAAGUCAAUGGGAGUCAACGGACUUUGAAUCAGUUCCAAAGUUUCUGUACUGUGACAGAAAGCAAAUUUCUGAGUUCUUGUCAGUGAUUUCCAUAUAGACAUAACUAAGCCUAUGUUUUAGUCCUGGGUAUUUUUAGUAAAAGUCAUGGAGAGGUCACAGGCAGUAAACAAAAAUAUUAGAAUGGCCUUUGAAAAUGUAGAUGAGCUCUCCAUGACUUGUACUAUAUACCCUUAACUAACACUUGGGCCGGGGAGGUGCGGGUGCUCAGAGUGGAGCGGUCCAGGGGUGCUGUGUGUGCUGGGAGGAUGGCUCAGGACCCCUGCUGGUGCUGUGGGGAGGCGGGCAGUGGCCUGGGACCCCCACUGGUGCUGGAGGGGAGGGUUGACGAGGCUGGCAGGCUCCCUACCCAGCUCCGCACAGCUCCCUGGAAGUGGCCAACAUGUCCCUACAGCUCCUUGGGGGAGGAAAGGCCAGGGGGGCUCCGCACACUGCCCUCACCAUAAGCUCUGGCUCCACAGCUCCCAUUGGCUGGGAACUGCAGCCAAUGGGAGUUGUGGGGGUGGUGCCUGCAGGCAAGCGCUGCAUACAGAGCCCUCUGGCCCCUCUGCCUAGGAGCUGCAGGGGCAUGCUACCCGCUUCCGGGGAGGCCCCCUGAGGUAAGCACUGCCCUGCCCCCCAACCCACUGCCCCAGCCUUGAGCCCCUCCCACACCCAAACUGCUGCUGCAGGGCCCCCCAGUGGUGGCCUGAAACUGCCCCAGCAGUGGCCAGUGCGGCUGGCCCAAGUGCUGCUUGAUAUGCUUGGACAGUCCCAGAGCCAUCCACACCAGCUGCUGCAGAAGUCACAGAGGUCACGGAAUCCAUGAUUUCCGUGACCUCUGUGACAGACAUGCAGCCUUAGACAUAACCUCUUUUAUUUUAUUUUUUGUGCUCUAAUAUUGCUUAGACAGAGUGGAGUAAAUCUGAUGGAGAUGGUAUUAUUUAAUUUGUUGCCAUUCUGUUGUUGCUCUAGCUAAGACAUUGACUUUUAAAAUUUCCAGUAAUUAUUUUCCUGGCAAAAUCAUAUGUGUUGGAAUUAUGAACCUAUAAAUCAUUACCAUAUUCUUCUUGACAAAACACUGUGACACUAUUUGCCAUUUUGUAGCUUUUCUCUGACACCUCUCUCAUCCCUAUCUGGUAAGAACAUUCUACCUUGUUUGCAGCCUAAAGCUUAGUAACAAUACAGAAUGCAGCAUCAUUUGCAAAGCAAACAUCCAAAGGAGAAAAUGGAAUAAGAAAAAAAUCACAAAAAAAGAAAUGAGCAAGAAGAGGAAUGGAAUGUCACUUUCUUUCAUACUUCAGACUUAUAUCUGAGCUGAGGAAAAUACUCCCAUAAGCCAAGGCUGAAUAGAAAUGCAUUGUAAGAGACUCUCUGAAGAGGCAUUUAGAUAGCGACUAAGAUAAAUGCAAACAAAUCAAAUUGCAAAGCAAUAUUUUCAAUUUUUUAGGAAAACACAGCCAUAAGUUUUCCUUUCAGCUUUCAUCAAAUAUUAACCAUAGGCCAUCUGCAGCUGGAGACCUACUGUAGCUGAGUCUUUAAUGGCAAUUUAAAACAGCUUUAUAUUGUACACAACUGUAUUCUUGGAUCUAUAACUUUUAUUGAGCCAAGUGUUUAAAGAGGUCUCAAUGAGGCACUAGUGUUGUGCCUGCAAUCAACUGUUGGUGCAGUUAAUUGUGGGUGCACCUGAGAGCAGUUAGUUGUCAGGCCAAAGGUUAACUGGACCCGCAAUUGACAGCAGUGUAUAAAGAUCUUACAAAUGUAAGAUUAAGGAUUGUUCUUCAAAUUUGCCCCAGUCACUAUAGUUUGAUUUAUGUAUUUAUAUGGUCAUCAUCGCUGUAGUAUCUGAGCAUGUCAUAAUUGUUGGGUCGGUGCCAAAUUAUUAUUGUGAAUUGCUGUGAUUGAUAUGAAUGAAUGUGGUGAACAUGAGUUUGGUAUGGCUUGAUAUGUUUGAAUUUGCUAGAGGAUUCUGGGAACAGGGUUCUCUUAGCAUCAUACAGUUUGUAUGGAAAUUUAUUGCAAGUGCUGAAACCGCACUUGAAUGGUUAAUCAAAGGUUCUAUCUGUGUGUAUGCGUGUGUGUGUGUGUGUGUGUCUUAGUUAAAACUUUGGUCAGCUGACAGCCAGCUCACAAAAGUAAAGAAAAUGCAGAAGACACGCGAUCAGUGAGCUUGGUACAGAAUGACCCAGGUCAAAAUGAGCCUUUAGGGAAACACCAUACUAAGAACUUAAGUGAAUGACUAAUGAGAGGAUAAACCUCAACUGAUCUUUGGUCUCCAUCCAUUUUACAGCCCCCUUCUAAAAUAUUAAUUAGAAAAACCAGUAAUGGAAUGCUCACAGGACAUAUUUCUGAGACAUGUGACUCCUUUGAGAACAAGAGGUAUAAAUGCUAAGCAGAGUUAGUCAGUUAGUUAACAUCUGAAGAGAUCUGUGAUGCUGUAAGAUAGAGGGCCUCAGGUUAACCAAGACCCUGCUUCAGGGGACAUUUGACAGACCAAGUACUUGAGAGGGGAAGAGAAGAGAAGAAAAGAAGUCUCCAUCUAGGACUGGUAGCUAUACCUGCUUUGUUUGCUAAUCAGGAUACUGUGUAAGGCCAACAUAGUUACUGGAGGUUUAUGCUUGGGGAAUUGAGGCUUAUUAGGGAGAUGUAUUAUAUAAACUUUUAGUGCUUGUGUGAUUCUUUCUCAAAUAAACUGCUGUGCAUUGAGCAAAUUGAAUCCUAAUUUUCACUGGUACCAGUAAAAAUCUGCCCAGCUGUGGGCAGAUCUGUUUCAACAAAUAAUCACUGAUGAAUUUUAUCUGCACAACAACCCAUGAGCUACAGAAGUAUUAUCAGUCACAUUUUUCUGAUCGAGAAACUGAGGCAAUAUGAUUGAAGAGUUGCCCAAG